GUGAACGCUGGCGGUAGGCCUAACACAUGCCAGUCGAACGGCAGCACAGUAAGAGCUUGCUCUUACGGGUGGCGAGUGGCGGACGGGUGAGGAAUACAUCGGAAUCUACUUUUUCGUGGGGGAUAACGUAGGGAAACUUACGCUAAUACCGCAUACGACCUACGGGUGAAAGCAGGGGAUCUUCGGACCUUGCGCGAUUGAAUGAGCCGAUGUCGGAUUAGCUAGUUGGCGGGGUAAAGGCCCACCAAGGCGACGAUCCGUAGCUGGUCUGAGAGGAUGAUCAGCCACACGGGAACUGAGACACGGUCCAGACUCCUACGGGAGGCAGCAGUGGGGAAUAUUGGACAAUGGGCGCAAGCCUGAUCCAGCCAUACCGCGUGGGUGAAGAAGGCCUUCGGGUUGUAAAGCCCUUUUGUUGGGAAAGAAAAGCAGCAGGUUAAUACCCCGCUGUUCUGACGGUACCCAAAGAAUAAGCACCGGCUAACUUCGUG
rnacentral:rRNA from 1 species